UCACACUGCAAUGGCAUUUAUACUUUGCAUCGAGAAAAAAUUUACAGAUGUUGGUCUUCUGGGCGUUGUCAUUGAAUCCGAACUGGUUGAAGCAGAACAAUUUGGCACAGUCGGCAGGAACCUUGCAAUAUUGGACACUGGCAUCGAAUCAAAUGUUGACAGCAAGGAACAGCUGAAGUAGACUUUGGACCUGACUCCAUGCCCUGCCUGAGAGUGGAAGGUAAUGCCUAGCUGCUACUGAUAACAACUACCAAGAAAAUGGCUCAUAACGAAGCACCAGCAGGCAAUGAGCCAAGGAUCCGCCUUCAGGCAAAGCACACAUGAAUGAAUGAGAGUUCCAACGCAACCUUAUUACUGACAAUCAUCAAUCACACUCAUCAAUCCACAAUCUGAGAUUCAAUAAUCAUGCCACCUAAUAAGGUGAAUAAUUGUAAUCCUGAG